rnacentral:rRNA from 1 species
CCUACGGGUGGCAGCAGUGGGGAAUAUUGCACAAUGGGCGAAACCCUGAUGCAGCGACGCCGCGUGAGUGAAGAAGUAAUUCGUUAUGUAAAGCUCUUUCAGCAGGGAAGAAACUGACGGUACCUGCGUAAGAAUCCCCGGCUAACUACGUGCCAGCAGCCGCGGUAAUACGUAGGGGGCAAGCGUUAUCCGGAUUUACUGGGUGUAAAGGGGGCGUAGGCGGCAGUGCAAGUCUGGAGUGAAAGGCGGGGGCUCAACCCCCGGACUGCUCUGGAAACUGUACGGCUGGAGUGCAGGAGAGGUAAGUGGAAUUCCUAGUGUAGCGGUGAAAUGCGUAGAUAGUAGGAGGAACACCAGUGGCGAAGGCGGCUUACUGGACUGUAACUGACGUUGAGGCGCGAAAGCGUGGGGAGCAAACAGGAUUAGAUACCCUUGUAGUC